rnacentral:rRNA from 1 species
GCUUGACUGCGAGCGUGACGGCGCGAGCAGGUGCGAAAGCAGGUCAUAGUGAUCCGGUGGUUCUGAAUGGAAGGGCCAUCGCUCAACGGAUAAAAGGUACUCCGGGGAUAACAGGCUGAUACCGCCCAAGAGUUCAUAUCGACGGCGGUGUUUGGCACCUCGAUGUCGGCUCAUCACAUCCUGGGGCUGAAGUAGGUCCCAAGGGUAUGGCUGUUCGCCAUUUAAAGUGGUACGCGAGCUGGGUUUAGAACGUCGUGAGACAGUUCGGUCCCUAUCUGCCGUGGGCGCUGGAGAACUGAGGGGGGCUGCUCCUAGUACGAGAGGACCGGAGUGGACGCAUCACUGGUGUUCGGGUUGUCAUGCCAAUGGCACUGCCCGGUAGCUAAAUGCGGAAGAGAUAAGUGCUGAAAGCAUCUAAGCACGAAACUUGCC